rnacentral:rRNA from 1 species
UCUACGGGAGGCAGCAGUGGGGAAUAUUGGACAAUGGGCGAAAGCCUGAUCCAGCCAUGCCGCGUGUGUGAAGAAGGCCUUCGGGUUGUAAAGCACUUUCAGUGGGGAAGAAAGCCUUGGGGCUAAUACCCUCGAGGAAGGACAUCACCCACAGAAGAAGCACCGGCUAACUCCGUGCCAGCAGCCGCGGUAAUACGGAGGGUGCGAGCGUUAAUCGGAAUUACUGGGCGUAAAGCGCGCGUAGGCGGUCUGAUAAGCCGGUUGUGAAAGCCCCGGGCUCAACCUGGGAACGGCAUCCGGAACUGUCAGGCUAGAGUGCAGGAGAGGAAGGUAGAAUUCCCGGGGUAGCGGUGAAAUGCGUAGAGAUCGGGAGGAAUACCAGUGGCGAAGGCGGCCUUCUGGACUGACACUGACGCUGAGGUGCGAAAGCGUGGGUAGCAAACAGGAUUAAUACCCUAGUAGUC